rnacentral:rRNA from 1 species
UACAGAGGGUGCUAGCGUUGUUCGGAAUCAUUGGGCGUAAAGCGCGCGUAGGCGGCCCGGUAAGUCCGUUGUAAAAGUCAAAGGCUCAACCUUUGAAAGCCGAUGGAUACUGCGGAGCUAGAGUACGGAAGAGGCGAGUGGAAUUCCUGGUGUAGCGGUGGAAUGCGCAGAUAUCAGGAGGAACACCAAUAGCGAAGGCAGCUCGCUGGGACGUUACUGACACUGAGGCGCGAAAGCGUGGGGAGCGAACAGG